rnacentral:rRNA from 1 species
UUGAAAGGGAAACGAUUGAAGUCAGUCGUGCGGGCGCGUAAUCAACCUACGAUUUGUCAAACAAGUAGUGUGGUGAGCCUCAAGGCCGCCAUAUUAUUGGUCUGGUUAAUCGUCGGUGCGCUUAACCGUUGUCCGCUGGUUAACAUCAAUUUCAAUUGUCAUUAAUUGGCUGGAGGGAUGUGGCUCCUUCGGGAGUGUUAUAACCUUAAGCGGAAUGGUGGUGUUUGGGAUUGAGGAUUGCAACGAAUACCUUAGGGCUGUUCCACCUGGUCUCUCUUUGGCAUCUUGGCGGCGACAGCUUGCUGACGUUGUUAAGAGUUGACAUUGAACAGGCUAGAGUGUGAGCAAAUUCGUUAAGGAUGUUGACGUA